AAAAAAACCCCAAUAAGCAGGAAUCCUUCCAGUCAUCCAGAGAUGGAGUUUUGCUUAUUUGGAGCAGAAAAUUAUGACAAGAGCUGCCUCUAUCACUGCUGAUGGUGUUUCUUUAAAUGAGUCAUCUCCUAUCCCUGAAGUUUGGUCCUUUACUGCAUGACCUUCCUGCAGACUGUUGGAUCGUGCCUCACCCUUUUGGGAAUGCAGCUACAUCAGGGGCUUUCACAGUCAGGCCUGACUUGCAGGGUAGGCAAAGCACAGGCUGUGUGAGGAAAGUGGGCCUGCAUAUCCAACAGAUGUGGUGAUGCCAGCUGGUUGUAUAACCUCUGUGACCUGACCAAGGCAGAGAUUGGAGUAAAGCACUGCUUUGGUGCCACGAUGGGGCCCCUGCUGGGUUUUGGUACCAAAGGUGGUGGUUCCUGGUUUAACAGUCCCGUGGAGGUCCCUCCCCACAGGAAGAGAACAUCCAGAUGAUAUAAAUUAGCAUGGCAGACCAACGGAAGUAAAAUGCCAAUUUCCAUUGCAAAGGAGGUAAAAAUGUCUCAAGUUGAUUAACUACAACAGCCUCCCAAGUAAGGACCGUUCUCCUUAUGGGUGUUACCAAAUAUCUCAUGCUGCCUUCAAGAUUUUAUGCAAACAGGGUAGUCUUAAAACAGCCUCUUUAAAAGUUUUCAAGCCUCUCUUAAUUUGCCUUAAAGCCUGAAGCUGUUUGUGACUGAACAUCUCAGCCUGUUCAUUGGUCUAACAGCAAGAGGUAGUGGGGAAGUUACCUAAUAUUGAUGAUUAUUCCAAGAUACUUGUAUCAAUUUGUGUAGGUCAGUGACUGAAGGGACUAAAUAGGAGUGAAAAUGUUGCUGCCAACUCCAGCUGCCUUAAGGUCACUUCUUUCAGCACUGUGGACAGAACAAAGGUCUAACACAACCCUUCACUCAAGAGAUGCAGUUUAACUCUUGGUGAAUAAAUUGUCUGCGUAACAGAUAAAUUGAGAUGGAAAAUGUGUCUUCCUGAGCACUGAAAUGUGCUCCAGGCAGAACUGAACUGCAAAGUGCUCCAGAACCUGCUGCUGUCUGAGCAGCUGGAAGGAAGGGGUUGUGUUAUUCCAUUGUUUCAGGACAAAAGAAACUGAGUCUUAAAGCAGAUUCUUUAGAACUGAACUAAUGCAGCAACAGUACAUCAGGCAGAGGCUUGUUUUGUGUCUCUGUGUCAGUAAACUUGCUUUUUAGUAUGUGAAUACCUGAGAAAUUAUGCAAGGGGAGACUAUUCUUGACAAAUAUAAUAAUGCACAAAUAAAAAUAACUGUAAAAGAACAGUUAUGAGUGAACCAGGCAGCUGAAAGCAGAGCAGGGAAGCUGAAGUGUUACCUGUAUGUGAACUAGGUAAUAUAGGAAAACACAAUCUGGUGGUGUUUAAAUGCAUCUUUGUCAAAUGGAAAAAUGUUUGAGGAAACAGUAAAUAAUCUGAUAUAAACAUAAAAGCACCAGCUAAUUCAGAUAGAAGUAACAGCGCAAAAUGUUGGUAUUGUGCCCACAUAGGCUCACAAACCUGCUUAAAUCAUCAGCAGUCCCACAACAGGGAACCUCUCCAGAGUGCUGCUGGCUUAGAACACCAAAAUCCAGGGAUGAGGGGAAACUACUGGUUUGUUAAGCUGCUGUAAAUGAGGAAAGGGAAGGCAAUUAGUGAAAGCCAAGACACUUUAAUCUCUCACUGCUCCAUGGACUUUGUUCUUACUCUGUGGCUUUUAUAUACACUCUGUGUGUCUAGACCUACCUCGGAGGAAGGUGCAAAGUGUAACUUAUUCCUAAUAAACAAGUAAUGCUCCACAUCACCAUAUCACGAUCUUCCAGAUCACCAAAGGGUGUUUUAAAACGUCAUUUGCAGCCCAGCUGAAUGUGGUUGUCUGAGCCAGGAGGAAAUUUCUGUAGCUGACAGAAGAGUUAUCAGAUUGAGAGGUUAAAACUAGAAAGGGCUUUGAGUCAGUGACAAUGCUGCCCAAAAUGGUGAGGUGUGUGUUACCCCACACCUACCAACUGAUUCCCGAAAUGUUGAUGAGGGGGAAAUCCUGAAGGAGAGAAUCUUGCAGGGUGGAUGUUUGCACUUCCCAAAGCUCCUUUCCAACACUGGCUACAUUCCUGGCUCGGGGCAGUGGCUGGUUUUGCCAGCAGCAUUGGACAGGGGGGGCUUUGCUGUGGUACAAUUAAUUAUUGUAUCCUAGUUUGGGUAGAGGGGCAAAGCAGACCGGGCAGCUGCUGUGCUUCCAGUGGGCACCAGCAAUGCAAGGGUGAGAAUAGACAGUGGAACUGGGUCAAAAUAAAAAUGCCUUCCUCAAAAAACCCCAGCAGUCCUGGGUUUAAACUGCAGUCGUUCUAACUGUGA